rnacentral:rRNA from 1 species
UACGUGAAACUGUGUAGUGGUAAACGGAGGCGUUCUCGAAGUCGCCCGUGGAGGUUCAUGUUGGCGUUGGCUCGGCCUGCGGGUCUGUGAUCCGCAAGGACACGGCUCGUUCGUUUGGGCUUCCGCCGGCAGCAUUUCUCCGCGGGUUCACGCAACGAACCGCUGGUGCUGGACUGAGGGCGUGGGUGAAGUUUUCGGCCUCGGCUGGAAGCCUCGCGUUCCUAGCUUCGGCGCCGGCGGGUAGCUAAGUGGGCUCGUAUAGCGAGUGCUCUUGCUAGCACGGCUCACAUCUCAGUUGCGAGUAGGUCGGCGGCGCCUCCGACCCGUCUUGAAACACGGACCAAGGAGUCUAACAUGUGCGCGAGUCAUUGGGUUGACUAAACCUAAGGGCGCAGUGAAAGCAAAGGCCGCUUAGCGGCUGAGGGACGAUCCCCUUGCGGGCGCAAUCCCGGCACUUCGCGUCGACCUCGCAUCGUGCGGAGUAGCAAGAGCGUACACGUUGGGACCCGAAAGAUGGUGAACUAUACCUGGCCAGGUUGAUA